AGGGGAUAUGAUGAAUGGUAAAAACUCGCUUAUAUUGCGAGAAGAGCGUUCCGCCCAAAGCCUGUUACGACUAUUGGGCGCUCUCUUUUUUACACAAUCUGAUCCCU
rnacentral:snoRNA from 1 species